GAUGAAGAACGUAGCGAAAUGCGAUAAGUAAUGUGAAUUGCAGAAUUCAGUGAAUCAUCGAAUCUUUGAACGCACAUUGCGCCCGUCAGUAUUCUGGCGGGCAUGCCUGUUCGAGCGUCAUUACGCCCCUCAAGUCCCCUGUGGACUUGGUGUUGGGGAUCGGCGAGGCUGGUUUUCCAGCACAGCCGUCCCUUAAAUUAAUUGGCGGUCUCGCCGUGGCCCUCCUCUGCGCAGUAGUAAAACACUCGCAACAGGAGCCCGGCGCGGUCCACUGCCGUAAAACCCCCCAACUUUUUAUAGUUGACCUCGAAUCAGGUAGGACUACCCGCUGAACUUAAGCAUAUCAAUAAGCGGACGA
rnacentral:misc_RNA from 1 species